UACGUAGGGUGCGAGCGUUGUCCGGAAUUACUGGGCGUAAAGAGCUCGUAGGUGGUUUGUCGCGUUGUUCGUGAAAACUCACAGCUUAACUGUGGGCGUGCGGGCGAUACGGGCAGACUGGAGUACUGCAGGGGAGACUGGAAUUCCUGGUGUAGCGGUGGAAUGCGCAGAUAUCAGGAGGAACACCCGUGGCGAAAGCGGCUCUCUGGGACGGUACUGACGCUGAGACGCGAAAGCGUGGGGAGCAAACAGG
rnacentral:rRNA from 1 species